CCUACGGGAGGCUGCAGUGAGGAAUAUUGGUCAAUGGACGAGAGUCUGAACCAGCCAAGUAGCGUGAAGGAUGACUGCCCUAUGGGUUGUAAACUUCUUUUAUCUGGGAAUAAAACGUUCCACGUGUGGGAUUUUGUAUGUACCAUAUGAAUAAGGAUCGGCUAACUCCGUGCCAGCAGCCGCGGUAAUACGGAGGAUCCGAUCGUUAUCCGGAUUUAUUGGGUUUAAAGGGAGCGUAGGUGAAUUGUUAAGUCAGUUGUGAAAGUUUGCGGCUCAACCGUAAAAUUGCAGUUGAAACUGGCAGUCUUGAGUACAGUAGAGGUGGGCGGAAUUCGUGGUGUAGCGGUGAAAUGCUUAGAUAUCACGAAGAACUCCGAUUGCGAAGGCAGUUCACUGGACUGCAACUGACACUGAGGCUCGAAAGUGUGGGUAUCAAACAGGAUUAGAUACCCUUGUAGUC
rnacentral:rRNA from 1 species